UACGGGGGGAGCAAGCGUUGUUCGGAUUUACUGGGCGUAAAGGGCGCGUAGGCGGCCACCGCAAGUCGACUGUGAAAUCUCCGGGCUUAACUCGGAAAGGUCAGCCGAUACUGCGGGGCUAGAGUGCAGAAGGGGCAACUGGAAUUCUCGGUGUAGCGGUGAAAUGCGUAGAUAUCGAGAGGAACACCUGCGGCGAAGGCGGGUUGCUGGGCUGACACUGACGCUGAGGCGCGAAAGCUAGGGGGAGCGAACGGG
rnacentral:rRNA from 1 species